ACCUACGGGAGGCAGCAGUAGGGAAUUUUCGUCAAUGGGCGCAAGCCUGAACGAGCAAUGCCGCGUGAACGAGGAAGGUCUUCGGAUCGUAAAGUUCUGUUGAAGGGGAAAAAGAGCGGAGAGAGGAAAUGGUCUCCGAUUGAUAUUACCCUUCGAGGAAGUCACGGCUAACUACGUGCCAGCAGCCGCGGUAAUACGUAGGUGGCGAGUGUUAUCCGGAAUGAUUGGGCGUAAAGGGUGCGUAGGCGGCCUGCUAAGUCUGGCGUGAAAGGUACCGGCUCAACCGGUACAGGCUCUGGAAACUG
rnacentral:rRNA from 1 species